rnacentral:rRNA from 1 species
AGAGUUUGAUCCUGGCUCAGGAUGAACGCUAGCGACAGGCUUAACACAUGCAAGUCGAGGGGCAGCGGGGGUAGCAAUACCCGCCGGCGACCGGCGCACGGGUGAGUAACGCGUAUGCAACUUACCUAUCAGAGGGGGAUAACCCGGCGAAAGUCGGACUAAUACCGCAUGAAGCAGGGGUCCCGCAUGGGAAUAUUUGCUAAAGAUUCAUCGCUGAUAGAUAGGCAUGCGUUCCAUUAGGCAGUUGGCGGGGUAACGGCCCACCAAACCGACGAUGGAUAGGGGUUCUGAGAGGAAGGUCCCCCACAUUGGUACUGAGACACGGACCAAACUCCUACGGGAGGCAGCAGUGAGGAAUAUUGGUCAAUGGACGCAAGUCUGAACCAGCCAUGCCGCGUGCAGGAUGACGGCUCUAUGAGUUGUAAACUGCUUUUGUACGAGGGUAAACGCAGAUACGUGUAUCUGUCUGAAAGUAUCGUACGAAUAAGGAUCGGCUAACUCCGUGCCAGCAGCCGCGGUAAUACGGAGGAUCCGAGCGUUAUCCGGAUUUAUUGGGUUUAAAGGGUGCGUAGGCGGUUUGAUAAGUUAGAGGUGAAAUUUCGGGGCUCAACCCUGAACGUGCCUCUAAUACUGUUGAGCUAGAGAGUAGUUGCGGUAGGCGGAAUGUAUGGUGUAGCGGUGAAAUGCUUAGAGAUCAUACAGAACACCGAUUGCGAAGGCAGCUUACCAAACUAUAUCUGACGUUGAGGCACGAAAGCGUGGGGAGCAAACAGGAUUAGAUACCCUGGUAGUCCACGCAGUAAACGAUGAUAACUCGUUGUCGGCGAUACACAGUCGGUGACUAAGCGAAAGCGAUAAGUUAUCCACCUGGGGAGUACGUUCGCAAGAAUGAAACUCAAAGGAAUUGACGGGGGCCCGCACAAGCGGAGGAACAUGUG